rnacentral:rRNA from 1 species
UACGUAGGGGGCAAGCGUUGUUCGGAUUUACUGGGCGUAAAGGGCGCGUAGGCGGUCAGCACAAGUCAGUUGUGAAAUCUCCGGGCUUAACUCGGAAAGGUCAACUGAUACUGUGCGACUAGAGUGCGGAAGGGGCAACUGGAAUCUCGGUGUAGCGGUGAAAUGCGUAGAUAUCGAGAGGAACACCUGCGGCGAAGGCGGGUUGCUGGGCCGACACUGACGCUGGAUGCGCGAAAGCCAGGGGAGCGAACGGG